AUUGAACGCUGGCGGCAGGCCUAACACAUGCAAGUCGAGCUGAGCGGCGGACGGGUGAGUAAUGCCUAGGUAUCUGCCUGGUAGUGGGGGAUAACGUCCUGAAACGCGCUCUAAUACCGCCUACUAUCCGAUGACCCUAGGUCGGAUUAGCUAGUUGGUGGGGUAAAGGCCUACCAAGGCGACGAUCCGUACCUGGUCUGAGAGGAUGAUCAGUCACACUGGAACUGAGACACGGUCCAGACUCCUACGGGAGGCAGCAGUGGGGAAUAUUGAACAAUGGGCGAAAGCCUGAUCCAGCCAUGCCGCGUGUGUGAAGAAGGUCUUCGGAUUGUAAAGCACUUUAAGUUGGGAGGCGUUACCAACAGAAUAAGCACCGGCUAACUUCGUGCCAGCCGCCGCGGUAAUAC
rnacentral:rRNA from 1 species